AUUGAACGCUAGCGGGAUGCUUUACACAUGCAAGUCGAACGAGCGGCGGACGGGUGAGUAAUAUAUCGGAACGUGCCCAGUAGUGGGGGAUAACUACUCGAAAGAGUGGCUAAUACCGAAUACCAUUGGAGCGGCCGAUAUCGGAUUAGCUAGUUGGUGGGGUAAAGGCUCACCAAGGCAACGAACCGUAGCCGGUUUGAGAGGACGACCAGCGACAAUGGAACUGAGACACGGCCCAGACUCCUACGGGAGGCAGCAGUGGGGAAUUUUGGACGAUGGGGGAAACCCUGAUCCAGCCAUCCCGCGUGUAUGAGAAAGCCUUCGGGUUGUAAAGUACUUUUGGCGGAGAAGCGGUAUCUGCAGAAUAAGCACCGGCUAACUACGUGCCAGCAGCCGCGGUAAUUC
rnacentral:rRNA from 1 species